AUUCUCAGCGAAAAAACUGAUGCUCAUGUUGAAGUUGAACAGCGGAGGACACACAACAGUUUCAGUAGAUAAGGGUUUUACAGUAAGGCCACAACAGUAACAAUAGUGCAAUACCCACAUGCAUGAUAGUAAGCUAACUCUGGAGGAAUACGAAUCAGCAGCGGGUAACCAUAACUACGGGGAGCAAUCUGCAUUAUUAUUCAGACUACAUAUUUAGUAUUUGAUCUCCGAUGAGAAUGGCCCUGCAUGCGUUGGCACUUGGCAGGGACUCACAGUCACAGCCCUAGACAUUGGGCUUGUAGGCUGGCGUCGAUGGCGGCUCCUCGUAGUCGGCGGCGUCAGCGGCAGCCUGUACGCCAGCGGAGUCGGCUUCCGCGCCGUGGUCGAGGAAGGGAGAUGGCAUCGGGACCGGGGCGUAUGGGGGCGGCGUGGGCUCAGGAGGGGACGGAGUGUACGGCGGCGGCGUUGGCGUGGGCUCAGGCUCAGGAGGGGACGGUGGCGGCGUGGGUUCAGGCUCAGGAGGGAACGGAGUGUACGGGGGCGGCGUAGGUUCAGGCUCAGGAGGGGACGGAGUGUACGGGGGCGGCGUUGGCGUGGGAGGUGUAGGUGGGCGGGGGCGAGGGCGAGGGCGAGGGCGCGGCGGAUGCGGACGCGGCCUGGGAGGCUUCCUGCUGCUGUGGGACGUGGUGAGCGGCGUCGGGGCGGGGUCAUACCCGCCGCUGUCCGCCUGCUGGGUCUCCAAGGCCAGGCUCAGGAACAGCAGGGCCACCAGGAGAGCGGCUUUGCCACCCGCCAUUCUCUCACUCCCUCACGCACUGCAAACUUCUUGGCUCGAUCGGUGUGGUUCUG
rnacentral:lncRNA from 1 species